rnacentral:misc_RNA from 1 species
CGUGCGUGCGUGCGCCUGUAGAUGAAAGCCAACCUCAUCAAGUAGAGCAUUAGCCUGUGCACCCGCUACGUAUUUGACACUACUCGCCUCCCACCAUCCCCUCUCUUGGCCUCCACUAGCACCCGCUCUCUCAGUGUCACAAAGUAAGAUACAACACUAAAGCUCUCCGCCACUCACCAGUUUGUGCUGCUCACGAGAUACAGCGAUACGUGCGCCACAGACCGUACCGCUGGUGCGCCUCCCCGCGCGCUGUUGCUGCCCGAGUACCCCCUCCCUUUCCGUGUGCUGAAUCGACGUGUGCUCUUCUACCCCCUCCCUCCCUCCCUCCUGUCGCUCUCUUCGGUAGUGCACUCACACACACCUUCCUCGGCAUCGCUCCCUUCUUUUCGCCCUUGCCUGUGCAUUCUUACAAGCCACCAAGAGCAGCGUUGGACGCAUUUUCUGUACACCGUUGUGGUCUCCGCCUCGUCCCCUUCUGCGCUGUGUUUUCCCGCUGUACCUUUCUUUGCGUUGUCGCUCUCGUCCGUCAUUGUUUCGUUCUCUUCCUGGUGACGCAGCCCCCUCCCCCUUCCACUUUUGCUUACUCGUAUCACCAACUGCGCUUUACGUUACCGUGUGUGUGUGUGCCAGUCUCUCUCGGUGUCUCCUGCCUCGUCUCCCCAUCAGGUGACGGACGCGCUGGCGGCCAACGAAAAAAGUAAGAAGGCUACACUGUUACGCACUCUGCUAGCUCUAUCAUUUUACCUCUUAUUUCAAUCCGUGCGUUGUGGCGUUUGUGGCGGCGCGCGUGCGUCAGAGGAGCUCAUACCUCCCUCCGCUGUGCUCUUUUCGGCCUCCUCCCACGCUUGAUUGGCGCUGCAUUGGAGGUCGUUCGACAGGAGGAGAGAGGCGGGCAGAUUUAUCACAUCGACGGGGAGGAGUUGGUGGUGUGCUUUCACUGACCCACCCACUCACAAGGACGCAUACAAGCAGAGCGUUGUGUAACACGUUUGUAUGCGUUGAUUUUCGUGUUUUGUUGCUCCGGAACCACGUGCCGUGUACACGCCUCCUCCUUUUCCGUUUGCUGUUUGUUGCGUCGUGCUCUUCUCUGUGUCGUGGCACGCACCACUGCCGCCUCCUUCCCCCCCUCCGUCUUUCUCGUGCUGUGCGUCGCUCCUUGCUCCCCCGCAUCCUCUCCUCCCCUCCUAACUGCCCUCGCUCUCCUUUUGGCUUGAAGAGAGAGGGAGUGAGUGAGAAGGGUGGGCCGGGUGGGGUGGGUUUUGGCGUAUGGACGACUUACGUGUUGUGUGCUGGCGCGCGCCCUUUUUGAGCUCGGCUCGACGUGAAUGCCACUCACUGCGCCGCCAAGGCGCAAUGGGAACAUUAAGGUCUUCUUGAAUGGCCGCAUCUUUGUUGGCCCCGACUGGCGCAUCAUGACGUUGAGCGUGGUGCUCAUCUCGGUCUGCUCUCUCGUGUUUGUAUUCUUCACAAACGAGAUCAUGGCCGCUCGCGUCAUCGUUGGGGUGACGGCUCUGAUUUCAGUUGCGGCGCUGCUUCUGUGCGGCUUGUCGGACCCAGGCGUCAAGCCGCGGCAGCCGCCCCCACCACCUGACGCACCUCCGCACGAGUCGCUGUGGCGUGAGCGCGAGUACGUGGACCAAAACGGUUAUGUCCAUCAAGCCCGGCUAGAGAUGAAAUGGUGCUAUAGCUGCAAUAUCUACCGGCCCUAUCGCGGGGUGCACUGCCGCUACUGUGAUCAGUGUGUGGCUCGCCGCGAUCACCACUGCCCGUGGACGGGCACGUGCAUCGGUGCGAAGAACUACCGGUCUUACUUUGCACUCGUCUGGGUGCUCUCUGUGAUGUUAUUUACGGCACUCUGCGGCGGCAUUCAGAGUUUUGUGCAGCGCAUUGUCCGGCAUAGUAAGGCAACACCCGUCAUCGAGGACGGCCCCAGCGCGUUCACCUCCGCCCUCAUCGACACGUACGGCCUGGAGCUCAUUUUAAUUGUGCUUUCUUUCAUCUUCGGCUUGCUGGUGUGGUCGCUGGCAGUCUACCACACCUACCUCAUCUCGCGAAACCUUACCUCCGGCGACGCAGCAAAGGACCUGGAAGAGAACGUCUUUACGCACGGCAGUGUGCUCGCGAACGUGUGGGCUGCGCUGACCGGCUGGCGUGAGGAGGAGAUGACUUGCGGAGACGCACGCACGGAGGUGGUGAUCGAGGUGGGUGGCUGCGACGACGUAUGCGAUGCGCCUUCGCCUUCCACCUCGGCCCACGCCGCAUCGCCACAUGCGACUGUCUGCGACGGCGGCGAUGCCUCACACUCAUGAAAGGGGCAGUACUGUGGGAAUGAUGAGCUGCAUCCCUCGUAACGUUUUCUCACCUCGCAAUGAUGCUGCUGCCGACGUGCACACCUACACACAAGUGUCGCACGUCAGGAGGAAAACCAAAGGAAGCCUUUUCCUUUUUGGUUGUUACACACACGAAUGGGGGCGUCGAAGUGCCGACUUCGCUCUUGUGCUCUGCGCACACACUUCCACACGCCCUUCGCCAUACGGCGAGGCUAAUGAUCGGUACGCGUCUAUUUGUGCGCUCGAGAGCGUAGAAGAGCGAGAGAGAGGGGUGGGAGAGAAAGCGAUGUGCCUCGCUGCCUUAAAGACAUCGCUGUCUGCCUUCUGCCCUGAUGCUCACGGAGGAGGGCCCCUCUCACACCCCCAACACACACAGGCACAAGGCCGGUGGAAGAGGGACUGCUUUCACCUCUUCCCCAUUCCUUUUCCCGCUGUUUUCAUCUGUUCUGUACCGCAUCUACCAAUGCCGUGAAUCGCAUGCGGUGCUUGAUCUAUAUAGUGGAGUGAGAACGUAUACGUGCGUGUUCGCUGCCGCUGAAGGGUCGCGGCGCGUGUGUGUGGGUGCUGCUGUUUUCUUGUAUCUACGUCGCUAGCGGCGCAGGACACCUCAGCGAGUCGUCUCUCAGGGCUCUGUGCACCCACCCCCUCUCCCCACUCGGUGCGUGGCGAAGCCGGGCAACCCCUCCCCUCCCCUAUCCCGGCCAAUGCACAGCCCCUUCUCGUGGUGAGAGGGCCAAGCGCCUGCGACGUUGGGGAGUCGGAGAGACUCAGCGCCACUCACGUCGGCGGUCCGACGGUGGACGGCGUUGCACCGGAGCGACCUGCAGCACUGCACACGCGUGCGCCAUCCAUAUGAUGGGCAGAGUGUGCCGACGUGGCUGGGACGUAUCCCACCCGGCCCUCGCUGCUUAGUGGUGCGGGGCGGCUCAGGCGCCCUGCGAGGGAUAUGCACCACGUGGCAACCAGCAUGGCUGGGGCGGCUGCGAGGCGACCUGGGAUGCGGGCGGGUGCGUUGCCUUUGAGGCGGGGGCCGUGCUGAGAUGACCGGGCCGGCGCGUUGCUGUGGCGCGCGUGUCUACGGCUGCUCCGCACCGCGCGAUGCGAGUGGGAGGGGCCCUGUGGCAGACCCGGGGGGUGCA